rnacentral:lncRNA from 1 species
CUGGAGAGAAAGGGCUGAGAACCCGGAGGCGGCGGCGGCGGCGGCGAGCCGGGGCUGCUGGUUCGCAGGGCGGCUAGCUCGCGAGGAGGCGCGGCCAGAGCGGUGGGACCGGUAACACCAAGAGCCGAGAAGACGCAGGGACCCGGGACCGCGCGCGGGAGGAAACGCGGCGGCCGCCCAAGCUGUCACCUCCAGCCUCUCCCCUCUCGGCCGCCUCUGCCAGCAGCCAGAGCCGGACUCACUGACAAGCCGCAGAGAGAGACACACUGAGAGGGAGAUGAUUAUUAGUUGCGUUGAGUCAUCAGGCAAAGACCCCGAGGGCUCUCCCACAUCUCCCGCAGCAAGAGCCACCGAUCCCCCUUAAGAAGCGUUGACUGUACGGCGGCGCCAGAGGGCCAAACUAAGUUCGGUUUCGGGAAACGCUCUCGGGAGCAGUUCUGUAAAUCCCUGCUGGGAGCAGAGACUGCGAAAAGCUGAGUCCGCCGAUCGUGCCCGGGACAAGGCUGCCUUCCACUCGCCCUCGCCGCAUCUACCUGGUAGGCGGCAUGCGCACGGGCUUA